rnacentral:tRNA from 1 species
GGUCCCGUAGACUGGUUAGAGCGUUGGUCUUAUGAGCCGAAGGUCGCGGGGUCGAGUCCCGCCGGGACCA